rnacentral:rRNA from 1 species
AUGAUAAGGUGGGGGGACGUGUACAAGGUGGUGGCCGCCAUGGCGCCAAUCUACUUCGCCCUGGGACUCGGGUACGGCUCCGUGCGGUGGUGGAAGCUCUUCACGCCGGACCAGUGUGACGCUGUGAACCGCCUCGUGGCCUACUUCGCGGUUCCUUUCUUCGCGCUCGACUUCGCCGCGCGCAUGGACCCAUACGCGCUCAACUACCGCGUCCUCGCCGCCGACGCGCUCUCCAAGCUCGCCGUCGCGCUGGCUCUCGCAGCCUGGGCCGCCGCGUCCACUCACUGCUGCCGCGGUGGCGGCAAGCGCGGCGGGGAACUGGCCUCAUCGUGGUGCAUCACCGGCUUCUCGCUGGCGACGCUGACCAACACGCUCGUCGUGGGCGUGCCGCUGCUGGACGCCAUGUACGGCGGGUGGGCGCGCGACCUCGUCGUGCAAAUAUCGGUGGUGCAGAUCAUCGUCUACUUCCCGCUCCUCCUGUUGGCAUUCGAGGCGAGGCGUGCCUGGGGUGGUGGCCCCGGGAAGCCGGGCGCCGAAGCGGCUUUAGCGAGCGACGGCGACGUAGAGGACGGCGGCGCGGAGGAUUCGAGGCAGCGCCAGCCGGUGUGGCCGUUGGUGAGAGCGGUGUGGCUCAAGGUGGCGCGGAAUCCCAACGUGUACGCGGGCAUGCUUGGCGUCGCGUGGUCGUGCAUCACAAACAGGUGGCACAUCGAGACGCCAAGCAUCAUCGAGGGCUCCGUGCUGAUCAUGUCCAGGACCGGGCUUGGACUCUGCAUGUUUAGCAUGGGCCAGUUCAUGGCGCUUCAGGAGAGGGUCGUCGCAUGCGGGGCCCAACUGACCGCCGUGGGCAUGGCGCUGCGGUUCCUUGUCGGCCCGGCCGCCACGGCUGCCGGAGCCGUCGCUCUGGGGCUCCAUGGAGACGUCCUGCGUGUUACCAUCAUUCAGGCUGCACUUCCUCAAGCCAUUACCACGUUCGUGUUCGCGAGGGAGUAUGGCCUACACGCUGAUGUACUCAGCACCGCGGUUAUAUUCGGGACGUUGAUGUCGCUGCCCGUGUUAAUCGUAUACUACAUCGCUCUGCCCUUCAUAGAAUAA